UAGGGAAUCUUCGGCAAUGGGGGCAACCCUGACCGAGCAACGCCGCGUGAGUGAAGAAGGUUUUCGGAUCGUAAAGCUCUGUUGUAAGAGAAGAACGAGUGUGAGAGUGGAAAGUUCACACUGUGACGGUAACUUACCAGAAAGGGACGGCUAACUACGUGCCAGCAGCCGCGGUAAUACGUAGGUCCCGAGCGUUAUCCGGAUUUAUUGGGCGUAAAGCGAGCGCAGGCGGUUAGAUAAGUCUGAAGUUAAAGGCUGUGGCUUAACCAUAGUACGCUUUGGAAACUGUUUAACUUGAGUGCAGAAGGGGAGAGUGGAAUUCCAUGUGUAGCGGUGAAAUGCGUAGAUAUAUGGAGGAACACCGGUGGCGAAAGCGGCUCUCUGGUCUGUAACUGACGCUGAGGCUCGAAAGCGUGGGGAGCAAACAGGAUUAGAUACCCUGGUAGUCCACGCCGUAAACGAUGAGUGCUAGGUGUUGGGUCCUUUCCGGGACUCAGUGCCGCAGCUAACGCAUUAAGCACUCCGCCUGGGGAGUACGACCGCAAGGUUG
rnacentral:rRNA from 1 species